GACGAACGCUGGCGGCGUGCCUAAUACAUGCAAGUCGAACGCAGUGGGGACGGGUGAGUAACACGUGGGUAACCUCCCCUCAGAGGGGAUAACACUUGGAAACAGGUGCUAAACCGAUAUUGAUGGAUGUACCCGGUGGGCAUUAGCUCGUUGGGGGGGUAACGGCUCACCAAGGCCACGAUGCAUAGCCGAGCUGAUAGGGUGAGCAGCCACACUGGGACUGAGACACGGCCCAGACUCCUACGGGAGGCAGCAGUAGGGAAUCUUCGACAAUGGACGAAAGUCUGACCGAGCAACGCCGCGUGACUGAAGAAGGUUUUCGGAUCGUAAAACUCUGUUGUUAGAGAAGCGGUAUCUAACCAGAAAGCCACGGCUAACUACGUGCCAGCAGCCGCGGUAAUUC
rnacentral:rRNA from 1 species